UAGUCUUUUUAUUACUCACUUUUAGAAUGAUUCAUUUUGAUCCCUUGCAUAAGGGAUUUCACGCUUUUUCAGUCCACACUUUUACUAUGGUAUUUUUUGACCCUUCACAUAUCCAAAAUGUCCUAUUUUUGUCCCAAUUCUCAUUUUUAGCUACAUUUUUACUUUUGAUUCUAACUUUGACAAAGGUUUUCAUCAAUGUGGUAAUGUGGUAUACAAGCCUUCAGUGACCUUGUUUACAGAUCUGCCCGGCAGAGGACCUAUCUUUCUCGUGACAACUGAAUAGCUUCUUGAUCUUGUGUAGAUUCAUCAGCCCAGAGAAGCUGGUGGGACAUGAGAACGAGUUCCUGAUUUUCUUACUUCUUCAAGCAGCUCCCACCUCUGCCCAUCUUGCAAAUGAUCCCACUGCGUGCAGUUUACAACUUCUGCCAUUUUUGGACGGUCUUCUGGUGUUGAGUUUCGGUGCAAAGCACUGCAACCUGAAGAAUUGUCUCAAGGAACACAUAUUUCCAGAACAGUAGCAAGGAGAGUUACUCAGCUUUGCUACUGAGACCAUCCGGAGUAGGAAUAGACACAUGGAGCGUUCCUGAACAGUAUUCUGAUCUUACAUUUCAUCUAUAUGCCUACUUGAGUUUUUCUAAUCUCUUUAACACCUGACAAAGCUUUGAGCAAUUUAAAUGAGAGAAAAAUACCUUAGAGCCAGAGACAUAAACCCUCAGAAUUGCUUUGCGCUUAGCUUAAUAAGUUUCUGCCAAAAAAAAAAAAAAACAAUUUUCGAUGGACAUUUUUGGUGCUAAACUAGAGUGUUAUGUGUAGUAGUCCUUUCCAAAUAACCAACAGUGUACAAAUAUUUAUAGUUUUUGUCAAUUACUAAUACAAGAAUUUACAAAGAACUACAGCAGUGAGAAACAUGAUUCAUUAGAGUGCUAGGCUAACGCUCUCCUUUACAAUGAACUACUGCACUGUUGAACAUGAUUUGUAAGAUUGCCACACUAAACAUUCGAACCACUCUCCAGUUAAUGCAGGAGGCAGAAUCAAAUGCAUCCAGGGUGCAAACCAGAGGUGCUGAAUUGUUUGAACACGAUGUCUAUUCCCCAGAAGUAGAAGAUCAAGGUCAAAAUGAUUUCUGAACUCACAGUUGCCAGAGAAACAAACUUUUAAUGGCAUAGGAUAUUUGGAGCCAGAGCUACGUACAGCCAAAAAGGACAUGAAUCCCAAGGAUGUAUAAGGUGAUACUUUAGGAGAACUAAAACCCGAAAGGAAGAAAGUUAGCAGCAAUGGGAUUGAGUAAAGCAAAAGUAGGAAAUCCAAUCCUAAAAGUUUUGAAGCAACUCAGAUCCCACAUUAGAGCUCUCAGUUUAGAAUCUACUAGCUCACUGCACAUGGUAAUUUUUCAAGAAAACCCUAUCAAGAAGAAAAUUACACAGUUAGGAAGGAGGUGGCGGUGAAUUUGGUGGUAGUAUUGAAGGUAAAUCAU
rnacentral:lncRNA from 1 species